AGAGUUUGAUCCUGGCUCAGGAUGAAUGCUGGCGGCGUGCCUUAAGCAUGCAAGUCGAACGGGUUCCGCAAGGAAUCAGUGGCAGACGGGUGAGUAACGCGUAGGAAUCUACCCCUGGGUGGGGCAUAGCUAGCCGAAAGGUUAGAUAAUUCCCCAUAGUUCCCGAUUUUAUCGGGAUAAAGGUCUUAACUGGCCGCCGAGGGAUGAGCCUGCGUCCUAUCAGCUAGUUGGUGGGGUAAAAGCCUACCAAGGCGAUGACGGGUAGCUGGACUGAGAGGUCGAUCAGCCACAACUGCACUGAGACACGGGCAGUACACCUACGGGUGGCAGCAACUAGGAAUAUUGGGCAAUGGACGAAACUCUGACCCAGCGACGCCGCGUGAGGGAUGAAGGCCUUCGGGUUGUAAACCUCUUUCAGUAGGGAAGAAGCGAAAGUGACGGUACCUACAGAAGAAGCACCGGCUAACUAUGUGCCAGCAGCCGCGGUAAUACAUAGGGUGCAAGCGUUGUCCGGAAUUAUUGGGCGUAAAGAGCUCGUAGGUGGUUCGAUACGUCGGAUGUGAAAAUCAGGGGCUCAACCCCUGACCUGCAUCCGAUACGGUCGAGCUAGAGUUUGGUAGGGGAGACUGGAAUUCCUGGUGUAGCGGUGGAAUGCGCAGAUAUCAGGAGGAACACCGAUGGCGAAGGCAGGUCUCUGGGCCAAUACUGACACUGAGGAGCGAAAGCGUGGGGAGCGAACAGGAUUAGAUACCCUGGUAGUCCACGCCGUAAACGGUGGGCGCUAGUUGUGCGAACCUUCCACGGUUUGUGCGACGCAGCUAACGCAUUAAGCGCCCCGCCUGGGGAGUACGAUCGCAAGAUUAAAACUCAAAGGAAUUGACGG
rnacentral:rRNA from 1 species